rnacentral:rRNA from 1 species
AUUGAACGCUGGCGGCAUGCUUUACACAUGCCAGUCGAACGGUAACAGGCCGCAAGGUGCUGACGAGUGGCGAACGGGUGAGUAAUGCAUCGGAACGUGCCCAGUCGUGGGGGAUAACUACUCGAAAGAGUAGCUAAUACCGCAUACGAUCUAUGGAUGAAAGCGGGGGACCGUAAGGCCUCGCGCGAUUGGAGCGGCCGAUGUCGGAUUAGGUAGUUGGUGGGGUAAAGGCUUACCAAGCCAACGAGCUGUAGCUGGUCUGAGAGGACGACCGGCCACACUGGGACGGAGACACGGCCCAGACUCCUACGGGAGGCAGCAGUGGGGAAUUUUGGGCAAUGGGCGCAAGCCUGAUCCAGCAAUGCCGCGUGCAGGAAGAAGGCCUUCGGGUUGUAAACUGCUUUUGUACGGAACGAAACGGCUCUGGUUAAUACCCGGGGCUAAUGACGGUACCGGAAGAAUAAGCACCGGCUAACUACGUG